GGACCAAACUGUCAGUGACUGGGUGAUGGGGGAAGUGGCGGGGGACUGGCUCACCCUCACCGUCCAUGGACUGACGCCUUCAAGGAAGUAUUUGCACAAGAUGCACUCUCACAAUGUCAAAGGUUUUGGUCCAUUCUCCUCCGUGGAAAGCUUCACGACUUCCAGCUGUUGACAAGAGCAUCGGUGAGCCCCCAGGCUGGUGUGUGGAGCGAGAGGCCUGAUUGUGCUGGUGAUCGCUGGCGUGGCAGGAGCCAUGACCAGCUGGGGCUUUGGCCACCACACUGUACUGCCGCGGGUCAAGGCGGAGCCCAGGCCAAGCAUUGUUGUUGGCGGCAGCUGCAGUGAGAGCAACAAGCCUGGCGUCCAGCCUCCAGACCUGUGGAUCCAUCACGGCCACUUGGAGCUGAAGAACUUUGACAAGGGUGAGCGCAGCAACUCCCCCAACCACGCCUCCAUCAUCCAGCACACAGGAGUCGCGUCACAUCACAAUGGGACCAAAAAAGGACGAGAAGGGACAAGACAAGAAGAAAAGGUCUUCUGCUGCCGCUGCUGCCUCUCCUGAUGAUGAUGAGCAACAAGAAGACACUCAAGAACAACCUGCCAAGAAAGUGAAGGGACGAUCCAAGGAGAGGUCAUCGUCUGCUACCGGGGAGACACCCCCUCCUCCAGCCCUCUUGCGUCACCAAUCCACUUGGACACAGAGCCCCAACCUGGUCAUGAUGAUGCUGGGGGGCGCGGCAGGUCCCUGGUACCCCCGCCUGGUUCAUGGCCGCCUCGCACAAGACCAAGGUUGUCGCAAAGAACAUAUCCAGAAUUGCACUCAUUUCCGAGGAGGCGACGAAAUACACGGCACAACAGGUCAGAAGGUCAAGGAACGCCCCAUUGCCAGCACCUUCUACGCACCCUUCGACCUUUACAAGCGAGGCAAGUUCGACGAGAUCCUUGAGGGGAUGGUCAGCUCCCACGCCCAGAACGAGGACAUGGCCAUUUCCGAAGCCAUGACCAGCAAGAUGUUCGAGGACGCUAAGACUGGUGUUGGCCUGGACCUGGCGGCACAGAUCCUGCAGCAGGGGCGUGACCACGGCAUCGCUGGAUACAACCGCUGGAGGCACCUCUGCGGCCUCCCGAAAGCUGCCUCCUUCCAAGGCCUGAGUGACGUCGUUGCCCCGGAAAACAUCAAGAAACUACAAGGGAUUUAUAAGCAUGUGGAUGAUGUGGAUCUCUUCACCGGUGGACUCGCGGAAAAGCCAAACUGUGGAGCGCUGGUCGGGCCCACGUUUGGCUGUUUGAUUGGUCGCCAGUUCCACCACCUGAGGCGAGGCGAUCGUUACUGGUAUGAGGACGACAUCCCGCCCUCCUCAUUCACUAAGGAACAACUUUACGAGCUCUGCAAGACCAGCCUGGGACGUGUGAUCUGCGACAGCAGCGACAAGCUCCAGCACGUCCAGCCCAAGGUCAUGCUGGAGGCUGAUUCCUUCCUGAAUGCCCCAAUGGCCUGCCAGGGGAAGCAUAUCAAGGGUGUGGACCUGAAGAAGUGGAAGACCGCCAGCCCCAACUUCAUCAUUCCCGACAAGAUGCUUCAGGAGAGCAUUGAGAGGGCCAGGCGCGACAUCACCAACAUGAGGGACUCCGAGUGGAACCUCUGGGAAGCACGGCUAUCAAAACCCCGAGCUACGUCAAUCACAGGUCAGCCGCUUCCCUCCCCUCGGCUAAUCUCUACGAACAUGCACAACGAUGUCUCGGCUCCUCAUGUUCGCUACACCCUCAUGGUCAUGCAAUGGGGGCAGCUUAUCGACCAUGACAUCAUCUUCACGCCCAUCAACAAAGGGUUCCAGGACUCCAUUCUUGACUGCCGGCGCUGCGACUCACCCCAGACGGUUCACCCCGAGUGCUUCCCUAUCGGCAUUCCCUCCAAUGACCCGUUCUUUCCACCAGUCAAUAUCUCCUCUGGGCAGCCUUUCUGUAUCCCUCUGACGCGCUCCAUGCCGGGACAGCUGACUCUAGGUUACCGAGAGCAGAUGAACCAGGUCACUGCAUUUGUGGAUGCCUCACACACCCAUGGCUCAGACAAGUGUGAACAGAGACAGCUGAGAAUGCUAACGGUCACGCUUGCCAAGAUGCUCUGCGAUAACUGUGAUAAUGUGGAGAGUGAGCAGCGGUCGGUCCGUCUUUGACCUUCCUGACCCCUUCCUGAACCCUCGUGUGUCCCACCGUGACCUGCCGGGGAUCAACCCGGAGCUGUGGAAGGAGCGCGUGUCAUGUGGGGUCGGCAAGACUGAUAUUGACAUCGGGGCAGCCGAGCGCAUAUCACCCUGUGUCAUGUGCACCUGUACCAAGGAAGGGAACAACUUUACGAGCUCUGCAAGACCAGCCUGGGACGUGUGAUCUGCGACAGCAGCGACAAGCUCCAGCACGUCCAGCCCAAGGUCAUGCUGGAGGCUGAUUCCUUCCUGAAUGCCCCAAUGGCCUGCCAGGGGAAG